rnacentral:rRNA from 1 species
AUACGGAGGGUGCAAGCGUUAUCCGGAAUCACUGGGUUUAAAGGGUGCGUAGGCGGCUAAAUAAGUCAGAGGUGAAAUCUUUCCGCUUAACGGAAAAAUUGCCUUUGAAACUGUAUAGCUUGAAUGAAGUUGAGGUUAGCGGAAUGUGACAUGUAGCGGUGAAAUGCAUAGAUAUGUCAUAGAACACCAAAUGCGAAGGCAGCUAGCUAGGCUUGAAUUGACGCUGAGGCACGAAAGCGUGGGGAGCGAACAGGAUUAGAUACCCUAGUAGUCC